AGAACGAACGCUGACGGCAGGCUUAACACAUGCAAGUCGAACGGUUGUAGCAAUACAGCAGUGGCAGACGGGUGAGUAACACGUGGGAACCUUCCUAGGGGUACGGAACAACUCAGGGAAACUUGAGCUAAUACCGUAUACGUCCGUGAGGAGAAGAUUUAUCGCCCCUAGACGGGCCCGCGUAGGAUUAGGUAGUUGGUGUAGGUAACGGCUCACCAACGCCUACGAUCCUUAGCCGUAUCUGAGAGGAUGAUCAGCCACACUGGGACUGAGACC
rnacentral:rRNA from 1 species